rnacentral:rRNA from 1 species
CCUACGGGGGGCUGCAGUGAGGAAUCUUGCACAAUGGGCGAAAGCCUGAUGCAGCGACGCCGCGUGCGGGAAGAAGGCCUUCGGGUUGUAAACCGCUUUUCUGGGGGACGAGCAAGGACGGUACCUCAGGAAUAAGUCCCGGCUAACUACGUGCCAGCAGCCGCGGUAAUACGUAGGGGGCAAGCGUUAUCCGGAAUCACUGGGCGUAAAGGGCGUCUAGGCGGCAAGGCAAGUCUCGCGUAAAAGCUCCCGGCUCAACUGGGAGAGCGCGCGGGAAACUGCCUGGCUAGAGACUCGGAGAGGGGUGUGGAAUUCCCGGUGGAGUGGUGAAAUGCGUUGAGAUCGGGAGGAACACCAGUAGCGAAGGCGGCACCCUGGCCGAGUUCUGACGCUGAAGCGCGACAGCGUGGGGAGCAAACGGGCUUAGAUACCCCGGUAGUC